CGGAGUGCGGCCCGGUGGAGGGAGCCGCGCGGAGUCGCUGCCUCUGCCCGCCGCCCUCGCUCGCCCGCCGUCAUGUCCGUGCCGGUGUCGGGCCCCUUGCACACUGAGCUGGCGGAAGCCGUAGCCCAGGCGCGGGUCUUGGUGGUGGGAGCCGGCGGCAUCGGCUGUGAGCUCCUCAAGGACCUGGUGCUCACCGGCUUCAGCAACAUCGACGUGAUUGAUCUGGAUACUAUCGAUGUCAGCAAUCUCAACAGGCAGUUUUUGUUCCAGAAGAAGCAUGUUGGAAGAUCAAAAGCACAGGUUGCCAAGGAAAGCGUGUUACAGUUUCAUCCAGAGGCUAACAUUACAGCUUACCAUGACAGCAUCAUGAACCCUGACUAUAACGUAGAGUUCUUCCGCCAGUUUACCUUGGUUAUGAAUGCUCUGGAUAACAGAGCUGCCCGUAACCAUGUGAACAGGAUGUGUCUGGCUGCUGAUGUUCCUCUGAUAGAGAGUGGAACUGCAGGCUACCUUGGACAAGUAACAGUUAUUAAGAAGGGAAUGACAGAAUGUUAUGAAUGCCAUCCUAAGCCAACCCAGAAGACUUUUCCAGGCUGCACUAUUAGAAAUACACCAUCAGAACCUAUCCACUGCAUUGUGUGGGCUAAGUAUUUGUUCAACCAGUUGUUUGGAGAAGAAGAUGCUGAUCAAGAAGUCUCUCCUGACAGAGCUGAUCCUGAAGCUGCCUGGGAGCCAGCAGAAGCAGAAGCCAGAGCACGAGCAUCCAAUGAGGAUGGUGAGAUCAAACGUGUUUCAACUAAGGAGUGGGCUAAAUCAACUGGAUACGACCCAGUUAAACUGUUUACUAAGCUUUUCAAAGAUGAUAUCCGAUAUCUGCUGACAAUGGAUAAGCUGUGGAGGAAGAGAAAGCCUCCAGUGCCGCUGGACUGGGCUGAGGUACAAAAGCAAGAGAAAAACACAUCUGACCAACAAAAUGAAUCCUCUGCAGUCUUGAAGGAUCAGCAGGUUCUGGAUGUCAAGAGCUAUGCACACUUAUUUUCAAAGAGUGUUGAAACCCUGAGACUUCACCUGGCUGAGAAGGGUGAUGGAGCAGAGCUCAUAUGGGAUAAGGAUGACCCUUCUGCAAUGGAUUUUGUCACUUCUGCUGCCAAUCUCAGGAUGCAUGUUUUCAGUAUGAAUAUGAAGAGCAGAUUUGAUAUCAAGUCAAUGGCAGGAAAUAUCAUCCCAGCUAUAGCUACUACUAAUGCAGUCAUAGCUGGUCUGAUAGUGCUGGAGGGGUUGAAGAUUUUAUCAGGAAAAAUAGAUCAGUGUAGAACGAUCUUUCUGAACAAGCAGCCAAAUCCCAGGAAGAAGCUGUUAGUUCCUUGUGCUUUGGAUCCACCAAACCCCAACUGUUAUGUGUGUGCAAGUAAGCCAGAAGUGACUGUGAAACUGAAUGUGCACAAAGUUACUGUGCUCACACUCCAGGACAAGAUAGUGAAAGAAAAGUUUGCUAUGGUAGCACCAGAUGUACAAAUAGAUGAUGGAAAAGGAACUAUUCUUAUCUCUUCAGAGGAAGGAGAAACAGAAGCAAACAACCACAGGAAAUUAUCAGACUUUGGAAUUCGAAAUGGCACUCGGCUACAAGCAGAUGAUUUCCUCCAGGACUAUACACUCUUAAUCAAUGUGCUGCAUAGUGAAGACCUAGAGAAAGAUGUAGAAUUCGAAGUUGUUGGUGAUACUCCUGAUGGCCCUAAACCAUCAGAACCCACAUCAAAGAACAUUACCAAUGGUAGUGAUGAUGGAGCACAGCCCUCAACAUCAACAGCUCCAGAGGAAGAGGAUGUUAUGUUUGUUGAAGAAAGUGGAAGUUCUUCAGGCAAGACUGAUGAUGACAAGGAGAACAAAAGCCGCAAGAGAAAGCUAGAAGAGAAAGAGGCUGUUGGGACAAAGCGAGCACGUGCUAAGCAGACAGAAGAUGAUGAGGAGGAGGAGGAGGAUGAAAUUAUAGCAUUAGACUGAGCAUGCAAAUGCCCCUUGACAAAAUGAUUCAGUUUAUGGAAUUCAGUAACAGCAGAUUCUGUUGGGAUGUGAAAAAUGUCCAGAACUAGACUGAUUUUAAGGCCUUUGUUCUAACAAAAUCUUUUGUGCCUAGUCCUAAACAUUUUUCACACCCUGAACAAGCAAAAGAAGAAAAUUCAAUAAAGAGGAGAAUCCAACAAAGCGAAUGAGUGCCCUGUUUUAACAGUGUUCUCCAAGCUCAGCUGGCACUUUGUACAUUACUGUAAAACUGCUAUGAUUUCCUCAAGGUUUUCAGCUCGUACUGCCUGGUAUGUCAAUGUAAGAAGCAAAUUUUUGUGUAUUGUUACAGUUUCAGGUUAUUUAUAUUUGAUGUUUUGUAAACUCAAGAUACUCCUAUACUGUACAUCUGAUGGACCAAAUAAAUGACAUCUGAAAUACUUGCUACAUUUGCUUGCACAGUCCAAGUUGAUGCUGACUGGUGGGAUUUUACACUGUAUAGCCUUCCAAAAUGACUGUAUUAUUUUCAUUUUUCUAAGCAUAACCUAGUAGUACAGAACUGAAGCUUCACUUGUUUGAGGUGAAAGGGGAAUUUUUUUAAUAAAACUUUUG